rnacentral:lncRNA from 1 species
AGCUAGCCCCUUUGUGCGGCGGGGGCGGCGGAGUGCUCCCUCCAAGACCGGUUGCACCCCGCUUUCCUGGCCAGGACUCUGGCGCGCUAAGGAGGCGCGGUUGGAGGCAUCUGUCCACCCAUGUGGUUCCAGACACGUUCAUGUGGCCACCAAGACCCCGUCGGCAUCACAGGAGUAACCAAGGUGAUCCUCCCUCUCUUCCUGUGUCCACUGGGGCUGGUAGAGACCAACUUAAUGCUUUGAGGUCAGAUCCAUCAUGAAAUCCGUAUGUCCUGAGACCUCCUGAAUCUUAAGAGAGCAGCAAGUUCCUGGGACAGAGGAGAGAGAAGGGAAUUUCCAGGUUCUUCAGGACGUUCACAACCACACUGAGAAGCAUCUUUGCAGAUAAGUAUUUAAACUUACCAGCCCAUAGCCUACCAGCCUGCCCUCUUCUGGUCUGUGCAGGAAAGUGUAGUAUCCUAGAAUACCAAAGUGGGAGGGGAAACGGGUGAUGUAGCUCAUUCUCUUUUCUACCUCUAUGGAAGAAAGAAAGAGCCUGUCCCCAUUUUGUGGGGUCCCAGAAAGGGUGAUUUUUCACACU